rnacentral:rRNA from 1 species
GAUGAACGCUGGCGGCGUGCCUAAUACAUGCAAGUCGAGCGAACAGAUGAGGAGCUUGCUCCUCUGACGUUAGCGGCGGACGGGUGAGUAGCACGUGGAUAACCUACCUAUAAGACUGGGAUAACUUCGGGAAACCGGAGCUAAUACCGGAUAAUAUAUUGAACCGCAUGGUUCAAUAGUGAAAGAUGGUUUUGCUGUCACUUAUAGAUGGAUCCGCGCCGCAUUAGCUAGUUGGUAAGGUAACGGCUUACCAAGGCAACGAUGCGUAGCCGACCUGAGAGGGUGAUCGGCCACACUGGAACUGAGACACGGUCCAGACUCCUACGGGAGGCAGCAGUAGGGAAUCUUCCGCAAUGGGCGAAAGCCUGACGGAGCAACGCCGCGUGAGUGAUGAAGGUCUUCGGAUCGUAAAACUCUGUUAUUAGGGAAGAACAAAUGUGUAAGUAACUAUGCACGUCUUGACGGUACCUAAUCAGAAAGCCACGGCUAACUACGUG